GCCUGUUACUUGGCUGAUACAAUACCUAGGUGGAUGCCCCCUUCCUUCCAACAGUGUUAUAUGCUUUCUUCUGAGAGUUACCCGCUCCAUUAAGAGUACAGAAUUCCCAGACAAAGAAGGACCAUUUGGUCGUGGAUAAAAGGGUCACUUCACUCGCCUGCUAGAACCGCCACACAAGCUCUCAAGGUUCAUUUAUAGCCCGUGUGGUGUUCAAAUCCUGGCUCAGUCAUUUACUACCUGUGUGAGGUUGGUCACGUGGCUUUAACCUACCU
rnacentral:snRNA from 1 species